rfam:Oribacterium sp. oral taxon 078 str. F0262 genomic scaffold Scfld1, whole genome shotgun sequence.
AUAGGACAAGGCAACAGAAAUGAGGAAAAAAGCGGAUCGAGGAAGGAGAUCCGCGAUUUCCGAAUUGCUGCGUCGGAUUGUGGGAGGGCGAAGCACGAAGCAAUCCGAAGGCUUAU